UGGUUCUCCCAUCGAUGAAGAACGCAGCGAAUUGCGAUAAGUAAUGUGAAUUGCAGAAUUCAGUGAAUCAUCGAAUCUUUGAACGCACCUUGCGCUCCCUGGUAUUCCUAGGAGCAUGCCUGUUUGAGUGUCAUGAAUUCCUCAAACCCCAAUGUUUUGCAAAAUUCAUUGCUUGGGUUUGGUUGUGGGCCUAUAUUGCUGCUUCACCGCAGCUGGCCUUAAAGAUAUUAGCUGGACUCUCCGAGACUCUUGGAUAGUUCCACUUGAUGUGAUAAAUUUGCAUCGGUGGGUCAAGACUAUGCUUGGGAAGUGUGAGGAGUCUGCUUCUAAUCCGGCGAGAGGUUCCAUCCUCGACCCAAUUCAUUUACAACUCUGGCCUCAAAUCAGGUAGGACUACCCGCUGA
rnacentral:misc_RNA from 1 species